AUCAACUUUCGAUGGUAGGAUAGAGGCCUACCAUGGUGGUAACGGGUAACGGGGUGUUAGGGCACGACACCGGAGAGGGAGCCUGAGAAACGGCUACCACAUCCAAGGAUGGCAGCAGGCGCGCAAAUUACCCAAUCCCGACACGGGGAGGUAGUGACAAUAAAUAACAAUACGGGGUUCUUUCGGAUUUCGUAAUUGGAAUGAGUACAAUUUAAAUCUCUUAACGAGGAACAAUUGGAGGGCAAGUCUGGUGCCAGCAGCCGCGGUAAUUCCAGCUCCAAUAGCGUAUAUUAAAGUUGUUGCAGUUAAAAAGCUCGUAGUUGAAUUUCGGGAUCAUUAGGUUGGUCGUGCCUCUGGUAUGUACUGAUCUCGGUGGUUCCUACUUCUUGAAGAACCGUAAUGCCAUUAAUUUGGUGUUGCGGGGAAACAGGACUGUUACUUUGAAAAAAUUAGAGUGUUUAAAGCAGGCAAUCGCUUGAAUACAUUAGCAUGGAAUAAUGAAAUAGGACGUUCGAUCCUAUUUUGUUGGUUUCUAGGAUUGACGUAAUGAUUAAUAGGGAUAGUUGGGGGCAUUAGUAUUCAAUUGUCAGAGGUGAAAUUCUUGGAUUUAUUGAAGACUAACUACUGCGAAAGCAUUUGCCAAGGAUGUUUUCAUUAAUCAAGAACGAAAGUUAGGGGAUCGAAGACGAUCAGAUACCGUCGUAGUCUUAACCAUAAACUAUGCCGACUAGGGAUCGGAUGAUGUUAAUUUUUUAAUGACUCAUUCGGCGCCUUACGGGAAACCAAAGUGUUUGGGUUC
rnacentral:rRNA from 1 species